UUUCCGUAGGUGAACCUGCGGAAUGAUCAUUAUUGUAUAACCAAGGUUCAAGGACUUUCUCUAACCCUAAAGGUCGUGCACGCCCUAUUGCCCUCACACACAUCCAUCUCACCCCUAUGUGCAGCACCUCGUCGCUCCCCCUCUGGCUUUGUCUGCUGGGUCCUUGCGUUUUCACACAAACUUUUUAUUCAGUGUAGCAUGUAUUUUUUGUUUUUUCGAUCACGCAAUCAAUACAACUUUCCACAACCAAUCUCUUGGCUCUCGCAUCGAUGAAUAACG
rnacentral:misc_RNA from 1 species